UACAUUGCAUUUCGAAUCGCGUGCCAUUCCGCGUUACGUGGUCGAGAAAGGAAGUUGUAUUUAGAAAGGUUUUUCCCCGGUUUUCAAGACUGGGUUAAGUGUUUGUGACUGCCCAUUCUACUGGCAGAAGAAUGGCGCCAAGAAGACACGAAGCACCCUCCAACAACGCCACGGUCUUUCAGGAUGCGACCAACCUUCUCCCCCCCUGGGAGACGACACCACCGCCACCCACGCCCUCACAGCCUCUAAACUCGUUUAUAUCGAAGCCAAUGUCCAUAAAGAAGAAGCCGUUUAAGAAGGUGGUGAAACCUCCUCCUUCAAUAAAGAAGAAAACCAGCUAGGAUGGACUGCUAAGAUACCCGAUAAGGAACUCAACUGAAAAUCUCGAAUUAAUACUUCAUACGGUGAAUAACAUCAAUUUGGCUUGAAUAUAAAACUUAUAAAAUUACCAGACACUUCACGCCGGUCUGUGAGGCAGUGGUAAAACCCCGGUCGAGCCAGUCCAGUCUUGCAUAAAAGUGUAAUUACAGACGAACAAAUAAAAUAUGUUUUUCCUAUUAAAUAUAUUAUAUUAUAUUAAUGCAAUUUCUUGCAAUUAUAUGCCAGCAUAAAUGAGGAAAUCUGGCAUUUGUAUCUUUUAGUUUUUAACCUGAAACUAACCAUAUUUAACUUGAUAAUGUUGUUAAAAUAUCGACUGACGAGAAAAUGUUGCCUUCGACUUUUGCCAGAAUUAUGUAUUUUAUAUGCAAUAUAUUAUGACAAUAUGAGAACAAUAAAUUAUUAUUGAUGGCA